rnacentral:tRNA from 1 species
GGAGGCGUAGCUUAGUGGUUAAAGCGCACGAGAAGUACUGAGUUGGGUAGCUCCCCGAGGCCCGUAUUGGAUCACCCCAGCGGAGGGUGCAGCAUCCUCCAGUAUCUAAUCAUGAGCCGUUGGUUCGAUUCCAACCACUUCCA